GACGAACGCUGGCGGCGUGCCUAAUACAUGCAAGUCGAGCGAAUGGAUGGGAGCUUGCUCCCUGAAGUUAGCGGCGGACGGGUGAGUAACACGUGGGCAACCUGCCUGUAAGACUGGGAUAACUUCGGGAAACCGGAGCUAAUACCGGAUACAUUCUUUCUUCGCCUGAAGAAAGAUGGAAAGAUGGUUUCGGCUAUCACUUACAGAUGGGCCCGCGGCGCAUUAGCUAGUUGGUGAGGUAACGGCUCACCAAGGCAACGAUGCGUAGCCGACCUGAGAGGGUGAUCGGCCACACUGGGACUGAGACACGGCCCAGACUCCUACGGGAGGCAGCAGUAGGGAAUCUUCCGCAAUGGACGAAAGUCUGACGGAGCAACGCCGCGUGAGCGAAGAAGGCCUUCGGGUCGUAAAGCUCUGUUGUUAGGGAAGAACAAGUACCAGAGUAACUGCUGGUACCUUGACGGUACCUAACCAGAAAGCCACGGCUAACUACGUGCCAGCAGCCGCCGUAACAC
rnacentral:rRNA from 1 species